rnacentral:rRNA from 1 species
UACGUAGGGUGCAAGCGUUGUCCGGAAUUAUUGGGCGUAAAGAGCUCGUAGGCGGUCUGUCGCGUCUGCUGUGAAAACUCAGGGCUUAACCCUGAGCUUGCAGUGGGUACGGGCAGACUAGAGUGCGGUAGGGGGAGACUGGAAUUCCUGGUGUAGCGGUGAAAUGCGCAGAUAUCAGGAGGAACACCGGUGGCGAAGGCGGGGUCUC